rnacentral:lncRNA from 1 species
UACAGCUAGGUAACACACACACUACACCUGUUACAGCUAGGUAACACACACUACACCUGUUACAGCUAGGUAACACACACACUACACCUGUUAUAGCUAGGUAACACACACACUACACCUGUUACAGCUAGGUAACACACACACUACACCUGUUAUAGCUAGGUAACACACACUACACCUGUUACAGCUAGGUAACACACUACACCUGUUACAGCUAGGUAACACACACUACACCUGUUACAGCUAGGUAACACACACUACACCUGUUACAGCUAGGUAACACACACACUACACCUGUUACAGCUAGGUAACACACACUACACCUGUUACAGCUAGGUAACACACACUACACCUGUUACAGCUAGGUAACACACACUACACCUGUUACAGCUAGGUAACACACACACUACACCUGUUACAGCUAGGUAACACACACACUACACCUGUUAUAGCUAGGUAACACACACACUACACCUGUUACAGCUAGGUAACACACACACUACACAUGUUACAGCUAGGUAACAGACACUACACCUGUUACAGCUAGGUAACACACACACUACACCUGUUAUAGCUAGGUAACACACACUACACCUGUUACAGCUAGGUAACACACACACUACACCUGUUACAGCUAGGUAACACACACACUACACCUGUUACAGCUAGGUAACACACACACACUACACCUGUUACAGCUAGGUAACACACACACACUACACCUGUUACAGCUAGGUAACACACACUACACCUGUUACAGCUAGGUAACACACACUACACCUGUUACAGCUAGGUAACACACACACACACUACACCUGUUACGGCUAGGUAACACACACACACUACACCUGUUACAGCUAGGUAACACACACACUACACCUGUUACAGCUAGGUAACACACACUACACCUGUUACAGCUAGGUAACACACACACUACACCUGUUACAGCUAGGUAACACACACUACACCUGUUACAGCUAGGUAACACACACGCUACACCUGUUACAGCUAGGUAACACACACACUACACCUGUUACAGCUAGGUAACACACACACUACACCUGUUACAGCUAGAUAACACACACUACACCUGUUACAGCUAGGUAACACACACACUACACCUGUUACAGCUAGGUAACACACACGCUACACCUGUUACAGCUUGGUAACACACACACUACACCUGUUACAGCUAGGUAACAUACAAACUACACCUGUUACAACUAGGUAACACACACUAUACCUGUUACAGCUAGGCAACACACACACUACACCUGUUACAGCUAGGCAACACACACACUACAGUCAUGGCCAAAAGUUUUGAGAAUGACACAAAUAUUAAUUUUCACAAAGUCUGCUGCCUCAGUUUGUAUGAUGGCAAUUUGCAUAUACUCCAGAAUGUUAUGAAGAGUGAUCAGAUGAAUUGCAAUUAAUUGCAAAGUCCCUCUUUGCCAUGCAAAUGAACUGAAUCCCCAGAAAACAUUUCCACUGCAUUUCAGCCCUGCCACAAAAGGACCAGCUGACAUCAUGUCGGUGAUUCUCUCGUUAACACAGGUGUGAGUGUUGACGAGGACAAGGCUGGAGAUCACUCUGUCAUGCUGACUGAGUUCGAAUAACAGACUGGAAGCUUCAAAAGGAGGGUGAUGCUUGGAAUCAUUGUUCUUCCUCUGUCAACCAUGGUUACCUGCAAGGAAACACGUGCCGUCAUCAUUGCUUUGCACCAAAAGGGCUUCACAGGCAAGGAUA